AUUGAACGCUGGCGGCAGGCCUAACACAUGCAAGUCGCGCGAGCGGCGGACGGGUGCGUAAUGACUGGGAAUUGACCAGUCGAGGGGGAUAACAGUUGGAAACGACUGCCAAUACCGCAUACGAUUGGAUUGCCCAGGUGGGAUUAGCUGGUUGGUGAGGGAAGGGCUCACCAAGGCGACGAACCCUAGCUGGUCUGAGAGGAUGAUCAUCCACACGGGAACUGCGACACGUUCCAGACUCCUACGGUAGGCAGCAGUGGGGAAUAUUGCACAAUGGGGGAAACCCUGAUGCAGCCAUGCCGCGUGUGUGAAGAAGGCCUUCGGGUUGUAAAGCACUUUCAGCGAGGAGGCGUUACUCGCAGAAGAAGCACCGGCUAACUCCGUGCCAGCAGCCGCGGUAAUUC
rnacentral:rRNA from 1 species